rnacentral:rRNA from 1 species
AGUAGUUUGAUCCUGGCUCAGGAUGAACGCUGGCGGCGUGCUUAACACAUGCAAGUCGAACGAAGCACUUACGAUUGACUGGAGAGCUUGCUCGAAGGGAUUUUGUUUGUGACUUAGUGGCGGACGGGUGAGUAACGCGUGGGUAACCUGCCUCAUACAGGGGGAUAACAGUUGGAAACGACUGUUAAUACCGCAUAAGCGCACAGCAUCGCAUGAUGCAGUGUGAAAAACUCCGGUGGUAUGAGAUGGACCCGCGUCUGAUUAGCUAGUUGGAGGGGUAACGGCCCACCAAGGCAACGAUCAGUAGCCGACUUGAGAGAGUGAUCGGCCACAUUGGGACUGAGACACGGCCCAAACUCC